rnacentral:rRNA from 1 species
CCUACGGGUGGCAGCAGUAGGGAAUAUUGCUCAAUGGGGGAAACCCGGAAGCAGCAACGCCGCGUGGAGGAUGAAGGUUUUCGGAUUGGAAACUCCUUUUGUUAGAGAAGAGAAUGACGGUAUCUAACGAAUAAGCACCGGCUAACUCCGUGCCAGCAGCCGCGGUAAUACGGAGGGUGCAAGCGUUACUCGGAAUCACUGGGCGUAAAGAGCGCGUAGGCGGGAUAGCAAGUCAGAUAUGAAAUCCUAUGGCUUAACCCUAGAACUGCAUUUGAAACUGUUAUUCUAGAGUAUGGGAGAGGUAGGUGGAAUUCUUGGUGUAGGGGUCAAAUCCGUAGAGAUCACGAGGAAUACUCAUUGCGAAGGCGACCUGCUAGAACAUAACUGACGCUGAUGCGCGAAAGCGUGGGGAGCAAACAGGAUUAGAUACCCCAGUAGUC